GCCCGGGUGGUGGAAUGGUAGACACGUUGGACUUAAAAUCCAAUGGCCCUUUUAAGGCCGUGGGGGUUCAAGUCCCCCUCCGGGUA
rnacentral:tRNA from 1 species